CACGCGCUGGCGGACUAAGAGUGGCUGGCGAAGCGAGCGGCUGGCGCGGGCCCCUGGCGGGCGGGCGGUACAGCCCCAAGCCUGAGACCCGGACCUGAGCAUCGCAGGCCCAGGACAAGGUGGCCAGGCAGCCCCCAUGACGCCCCUGGUCUAGGCGGAGAACCGCCUGGGCGAUGAGUGAGAACCUCGACAACGAGGGCCCGAAGCCCAUGGAGAGCUGUGGCCAGGAGAGCAGCAGUACCCUGAGCUGCCCUACAGUCUCGGUGCCCCCUGCAGCCCCCUCAGCCCUGGAGGAGGUGGAGAAAGAGGGCGCUGGGGCGGCUACAGGGCCGGGGCCUCAGCCCGGGCUCUACAGCUACAUCAGGGAUGACUUGUUUACCUCUGAGAUCUUCAAACUGGAGCUGCAGAACGUGCCUCGCCACGCCAGCUUCAGCGACGUCCGGCGCUUCCUGGGCCGCUUUGGUCUGCAGCCCCACAAAACCAAACUCUUUGGGCAACCACCCUGCGCCUUUGUGACAUUCCGCAGCGCUGCAGAGAGGGACAAGGCCCUGCGCGUUUUGCAUGGUGCCCUCUGGAAAGGCCGCCCACUCAGUGUGCGCCUGGCCCGGCCCAAGGCGGACCCCAUGGCCAGGAGGAGGCGACAGGAGGGUGAGAGUGAGCCACCAGUAACACGAGUGGCCGACGUGGUGACCCCUUUAUGGACAGUGCCCUAUGCUGAGCAGCUUGAGCGGAAGCAGCUGGAGUGCGAGCAGGUGCUGCAGAAACUUGCCAAGGAAAUCGGGAGCACCAACCGUGCCUUGCUGCCCUGGCUGCUUGAGCAGAGGCACAAGCACAACAAGGCCUGCUGCCCACUGGAGGGGGUCAGGCCAUCACCCCAGCAGGUCAGGCUAGACUUCGGUGGCCACAAACCCCUAUCCCGGGUUUUGAAAAACUUUGCUUUUGC
rnacentral:sRNA from 1 species